rnacentral:rRNA from 1 species
UUAAUACCCGUCAGCUGUGACGUUACUCGCAGAAGAAGCACCGGCUAACUCCGUGCCAGCAGCCGCGGUAAUACGGAGGGUGCGAGCGUUAAUCGGAAUUACUGGGCGUAAAGCGCAUGCAGGCGGCCAAGUCAGUCAGAUGUGAAAGCCCCCGGGCUUAAACCUGGGAAUUGCAUUUGAAACUGCUUGGCUAGAGUCCUUGAGAGGGGGUAGAAUUUCAGGUGUAGCGGUGAAAUGCGUAGAGAUCUGAAGGAAUACCAGUGGCGAAGGCGGCCCCCUGGCAAGAGACUGACGCUCAGAUGCGAAAGCGUCGGGGAGCAAACAGGAUUAGAUACCCUGGUAG